AUGGACCAAUCCAUCCCUUUUUCCCGUGCAUAUGCAUCGGACUCGGAUGACGAUGGUCCCGAUGAAGAAGUUGAUGAGGAGGGGUUCACGCCGAAGGAGGCCCAAGCAUUCAAGAAGGUAUUCGGGCGGGAUCACAACACACCAUUGUUCAAGGAUCUUAGUCUCGCGGAUGAAGCCGUUGUGGAUGGUGGCAAAUGCAUAUCUCUUGGAGCUAGGCCAAGUUCUCAC
rnacentral:rRNA from 1 species